UAGGGAAUCUUCCACAAUAGACGCAAGUCUAAUGGAGCAACGCCGCGUGAGUGAAGAAGGUCUUCGGAUCGUAAAACUCUGUUGUUAGAGAAGAACACGAGUGAGAGUAACUGUUCAUUCGAUGACGGUAUCUAACCAGCAAGUCACGGCUAACUACGUGCCAG
rnacentral:rRNA from 1 species